UACGUAGGCAGCAAGCGUUGUUCGGAGUUAUUGGGCGUAAAGAGCUCGUAGGCGGUCUGUCGCGUCUGGUGUGAAAAUCCAGGGCUUAACCCUGGACCUGCAUCGGGUACGGGCAGACUAGAGUGCGGUAGGGGAGAUCGGAAUUCCUGGUGUAGCGGUGAAAUGCGCAGAUAUCAGGAGGAACACCGGUGGCGAAGGCGGAUCUCUGGGCCGUAACUGACGCUGAGGAGCGAAAGCAUGGGGAGCGAACAGG
rnacentral:rRNA from 1 species